rnacentral:rRNA from 1 species
GAUGAACGCUGGCGGCGUGCUUAACACAUGCAAGUCGAACGGAAAGGCCCAAGCUUGCUUGGGUACUCGAGUGGCGAACGGGUGAGUAACACGUGGGUGAUCUGCCCUGCACUUCGGGAUAAGCCUGGGAAACUGGGUCUAAUACCGGAUAGGACGAUGGUUUGGAUGCCAUUGUGGAAAGUUUUUUCGGUGUGGGAUGAGCUCGCGGCCUAUCAGCUUGUUGGUGGGGUAAUGGCCUACCAAGGCGUCGACGGGUAGCCGGCCUGAGAGGGUGUACGGCCACAUUGGGACUGAGAUACGGCCCAGAGUCCGACGGGAGGCAGCAGGGGGGAAUAUUGCACAAUGGGCGCAAGCCUGAGGCAGCGACGCCGCGUGGGGGAUGACGGCCUUCGGGUUGUAAACUCCUUUCGCUAGGGACGAAGCGUUUUUGUGACGGUACCUGGAGAAGAAGCACCGGCUAACUACGUG